CUGGGCGUUUCGGUGGGGGGCGGGGGGAGAUGAGCGUACUGCUCCCCAAUAUGGCAGACUUCGACACUAUCUAUGAGCUGGAGGAGGAGGAGGAGGAGGAGUCCGAGCCGGUGGUGAGGAGCCAGGAGCUGCCCCGGCCCCGAGACGCGCCAGACCCUGUGGCGGUACGGGGCGCCGGGCACAUCACCGUGUUUGGCUUGAGCAACAAGUUUGACACAGAAUUUCCCUCUGUCCUGACAGGAAAAGUUGCUCCAGAAGAAUUUAAGACUAGUAUCAGCCGUGUGAAUGCGUGUUUAAGGAAGAAUCUCCCUGUAAAUGUAAAAUGGCUGCUUUGUGGCUGUCUGUGCUGCUGCUGCACCCUGGGUUGCAGCCUGUGGCCUGUUAUCUGUCUUAAUAAAAGAACUAGAAGAUCAAUUCAGAAGUUGCUAGAAUGGGAAAAUAACAGACUAUAUCAUAAGCUUGGUUUGCACUGGAAGCUGAGUAAAAGGAAAUGUGAAACUAGCAAUAUGAUGGAAUAUAAAACUGUAUAAAGUGCUGUCCCACAACUGAAAGAGGUGUUCCGGAUAAGCAGAGUGGAAAAAGUUGUGGAGGGAAUCCCAGCACCUAUAGGGUCCCUUCCAAUGGGACCCAGGACAGAAGGACUCUUCUCGGUAAUACUAAUAGAAUUCUUACCAAAAUAUCCCAUAUUUCGACCUGACUGAGGAGCAGUAUUCAGUCUUUCAUGUUACCUGCAAUUUCCUACUCUUAGUGCCUUGUAGCUGAUUUUGGAAAGAAGAUGGUCUACUUUGCUGUGACUUUAAAAUGUUGUUAUUUGGUAGAAUAUCUUCCUUGCUAUGUUAUUUUUCUUUUGUUUAAGAAGAAAACAAUUUGCACAUUUUUUAUGUUAAAUGAGGCUUCUAUGUUGCACUCUGAAUUUUUAACAUUAACAAUAACAAAUAUAGUUGCCACUAAGGAUCUAACAACAGUGCUGCUUAACUUGUUCUGAGCAUGCUGCCUUAUUAAUUUCCAUACUUACUGUUUCCACAUGUACAUCCUAACUCUGUAUCAUACUGUAUUUCAUUCUAAAAUCACAUUACUAUAAAUCCUCAAUAGAAACAUCCAAGUAAGCUUCCAGUAGUUAGCAAUGAUUUUACUUAUAACUUGCUUGCAUAGGACUUGCAAUUAACAGCACUGGUUUUGUCCCGCAUUUUGCAAAAUCAUCAUUUACAUUAGAGGGUUAAUUAUUUUACCUACUGUGGAUUUGUAAAUAGUGCCUCGUUGCAUAAUGUAAAAUGUGGUAUGUCAAGGUUUACAGAAUGUAAUAUAGCUCUGAUUAUUGCCAACAGUUCUACAUAGAUUUAUUAAUGACAUUUAUUAGCAUCCUGAUUGUAUGGACCCAUUCAUAUGCCAUUUUUAUGGUAAAGCCAUAAUGAGUUUGUACAUACUAUCAGGUGUAGGGCUCAGAUGCACUUUGUUAGUAAAUGGAUGAAAAAUGCAUAGCAUUUCUGUGUUUCUUCAGAGAUUUUUCAGGUGUCUUGGUUAAUACCUGAAAUAAGGAAUCUUAAGUAUUCUCACAUUUUGGAAAAGUUGUAUUUGUGGAGUAGACUGCAACUAAUAUAUUAUCAGACUAUCCUAAAAGCCUAUUUUUAAGACACAAAUAUAUGGAAGUCAGGAAAAAACAUGGGUUUUUUAAAAAAAAAAAUUAAAAAAAGCGAAGAAGCAAAUUUAAAGUAAUUGGACUGAAUUGUUAUAACUACAGCCAACUACUUGGGACAGGUAAAUCAAUACAGAAGAAACAUUAAAUUUAAUAUUUUUAUUGCACAGUGGUACCUGAUAUUAUUUUUUACAUAUUGAGCAGUUAACUAAAACUGCAUCCUUUCCAGAAUGAAAAAGGAGCAGCAUACAUAUUUUCAAACAGAAUAACAGAGAACCACAAAACAAUCGUUUGAUGCAAGCCAUGAUGAGCUGAUAUUUGCCACAAAGAGCUUUAUUGUAACUUAGUGUCCAGGCAUUGCUUUACAGUUAUUUGGAUUCUUUGUGAUGCUAUUUGGUGCCUAAGUUUUCCAGUUCCAGAUUGAUUUUAGAAUCCUGUUUUAACAUAUUAAUCCAUACUGAAAAGGGAUGGUACAAACCCUGGUUGGAAUGGAAGAAAGCAUUUCGUAAACCAUUGCAUUUAAAAAACUGCAGUUGACAUGACAUGACUUCCAGCAGACUGUCAUAACAGUGGUGAGGGACAGAGAGCCAGUUACAGGCAUGUAGUCUUGUUGAGUCAAAUUCUUCAUACUUUUUGUUGCUCAGCUGAGGAACAGGAAACUCCUGUACUUGUGAUGUAAUUUCCAACCACAGCUGCCAAGAGUGAUGCUUCAAGCUGAGAUAUUUGAAGCUGAAAUGGAUUGUCAGCCUUAGACUGGUUUCAGUUCGUGUCAGAUCAGUGUCAGCUAACUAAGUGAAUUUUAAACCACUAGAAUGUAAGUACUUUAAAAAAAUCUACAAUAAUGUCUGACUAUAAACUUAGCUGCAGCUUGCAGCUAAACUUUUUUAUUACAGAACUACAAAAAGCAUACAUAGUGCCAUAUUAUGCUGAAAUGUGUUUAAGGGUGGGAAGCAGAGGGAAUGCUUAAAGACUUGGAGAAAAUAGAGUGCAAAAUAGAAUUGGAAUAGCAUGCUUAAUUUUAUAUUCAUUUCUGUUAAAACAGGAUUCUGGGCAGUAAGUUUUGCUAAUAAAAGAAUAAUUGUAAGCAUUUUUAAUACCUUAAAAUCUUAAGUAAUGGAAGCUUCUUACUAUUAUGCUAGAGGUUGUUAAUAAUUAUUCCCUCUCAUUUUUGUUAAUUAACAGCCCAGAAACCACACCACUUUCUUUAUUUUCUUCCCUCAUUUGAGUGACUAUAUUUUCAGAAUGUUCCUCUGCAGCUGAGGGGACAAGAAAGCCAAUGAGAGUUUGAUGUCAUGAGUAGUAGUGAAUAUUGAAUACUCUUCAGUCUCAUAACUAUUAGCAGUCCUUCCCCUUAGACCCAAGUCUGUGUCUGACCUUAACAUAUGCAGGUCAGAAUUGUUCCAUCUGAUUUAGAACACAUUUUUGUGAAACACUAUGCCAGGCUGAGAGAAAAUACCAUCAGCUCUCCCCAGUUAGACCGUAUGUUCAAUGGGUUAUUAAUUUAGAAGACUUGCACUUGUAUCUGUAUGAAAAUGAUUCAUUUAAGAACAUAAAUUCUAUAGGGUUUUUUUUUUUUAAAUGUCACAUUACAAAUUGUUUAGUCUUCACCCCCAUUAAAAUUUAGUUCAAAAAUGGGUCCCUACAUUUUGCCCAGCUAUGAGGCAAUACUAGCAAAUGGUCUGGAGCAUGAGAGCCAAGACAGCAGAUUACAGCAAAUUUCAUCUGACUAAAGAGGUAAUUUUGGAUUGUGUUACAAAUGCCAGCAUACAAAUGACAUAGAUCAUUUUUCUCAUUUAAAGAUGAAAGCAGCCACUGGUGUUGCUUUAGACUGUGGACUGCGUUCUGCCGACAGGUUCUAUUUUGACUGCCAUUUGCUUUAAUACAUAAACAUUCAUCUGAUAGUUUUCAGUCUUCUAAAAUCUAUAUUACCUUAAACCCUAUAAGUAAAUAUGAAUUUGUAAAAACCUAUCCGUGAUGAGUAAUUGUUAAUCAGAGAGGGUCCAUAGCAAUACAACAAAGAGUAACGGGAACAAAGUUUAAUGCAAAUGGAAAGGAAAGUGCCUUGACUUGUUCAAAUGAAAGAAAAAGUGCCGUGCAGAGGGGGAGAAAAGGGAACCAGUUUAAGUGAAUAUCUGUAAAUGUAAUUGGCCACAAAGUUCCUGAAAAGCAAGUCUGGAAACAUUGUUUAGUUUAAGUUUUGUCAGAACACUGUGAUAGUUGUUUUCUUUUCCAGACUUCUGCAUUAGGAAAUGUCACGGUAUUAUCGAAUAUUGGCAGGGAAGGAAAACUCUUAUCUCCUGGCUUUAAAAUGACUUUUUUGAGAGUAGUUUCAUGCUGGCCUAAAGAAAUGUAAAUGUAUAUGAACAUGUGUAGAAAGUUUAGAUUUGAUUAUGUAUGAGACUAGAAACAAAACACAUUUUUGCUAAAUUUAGUGUAGUCUUGAUAAAGUUCAUAUGCUCAUCUUGAUAAAUACAGAAAUCUGUAUGCAAAAACAUGAAUAUGCGUGUAUUAGUGUCUCCUGACAUCAGUUUACUACAUUUAUCUAUAAACAUUAGCAUUUGAGCAAUAAAAAUGUCAAACAGUUAAUAGUCAAUGUAAAUAGUUCUGACCAUUUUAGUAAACAAUGUUGUGUGAUAUUCCUGUUCUACAAUUUUUGUUUUUGGUGUUUUUGUUUUUGGUGUUUUUAUGAAAGUGUAACAUUAUUUGUAACUCAUCAGAAAUCUGUUUUUGUUUAAGUUGUAUGAAAGGAUUUUUAAUUGAGUCCUUAACAUUUUUAUUCUGUUUACAAGUAAAUAGCCACUUUUUUUAAUAGGACCUCACACCUUGAAGUUUUUUGAAUAAAAUCCUAAAUAAG